rnacentral:rRNA from 1 species
UACGUAGGGGGCCAGCGUUGCUCGGAAUUACUGGGCGUAAAGGGUUCGUAGGCGGUGUGGCAAGUCGGUAGUGAAAUCUCCAGGCUUAACUUGGAGGCUGCUGCCGAAACUGCCGUGCUAGAGUGCAGGAGAGGCGAGUGGAAUUACAGGUGUAGCGGUGAAAUGCGUAGAUAUCUGUAGGAACACCCGUGGCGAAGGCGGCUCGCUGGACUGCAACUGACGCUGAGGAACGAAAGCUAGGGGAGCAAACAGG